GAGUCUGCACGAGCAGCGCAUGCUCCUGGGUCCAGUCUGAUAGAGACGAGAUGGCGGCAGCAGCGUCUAAGAGGAUGAGCGUCCGACAGAGAGUUCCUGCUAAGAGCGACCGGGACCGGACCAGCCAGGAAGUCAGCACCGGGGUGAGUACCUGGCUCUGGGACCAGUGUGACAGUUUAAUUGGUUGCCACAUGAACUGGGGAUGUUACUGCAGAAGUUCAUGCGGUCGCUCUGAUUUGUGCCCUGGUGGUUUUUAAUCUGUGUGUGUGCUGACAUCCAGCCUGUACGGGCAACAGGAUGAGGGAUUUGUUGAGUCCAGAUCGCCGUUGAGUCAGGACGCUGAAGUUAGCUUCCAGUUCUGCACUUAAGGGAAAGUUAACUUACUGCUGAGCUUUUGCUCCUCUUGUUGUGAAAGCUGUCAGACAUUUUAAGUUUUAACUCUGUCUGAAAAUCCAAAAAAGAAACUUCCCCAUCGUAGGACUACUAGGAAAAGAUGUGAGUCCGGCUGGACCUGCUGGGACUUUGUAAACAAAUCUGAGGCGCUAAAUCUGUACUGUCAGUGUGUUUUCUAUAGAGAGCAAAACAUAGUGAGGGCUACAUGGAAAGGAGGGCAGAAGAAGGAAGGAAAGAUACAGAAAGACAGAGAGAAGCAAACUGAGACAAACAUUUGGAAGGUUUAGUAGUUAAAGGACUGCAGCCCCAAGUUGUAGCAGUAUCUUGGAGCUGAAUUUUUCUCUUUAGUGUUUAUUCAGAAUAUUUAAUAAUUCACAGACUCAGCUUUAAGAUUUCUUUAUUUGACUGUUCUGCAGAAUGAAGUGAUGCAGUCCUGAAAAUCAAGCUCUUCACAGUCCUCCCAAAGCACACUCUGUACUGCCCUCCCUUUCCAGGACGUCCUCUCCAUAUUUGGUCCAGUCCAGUCAGUAUCUCUGAACCUACAAUGAAUCACUCUGAGAACUUGGCCGGAAAAGUAGUUUAGUGCACAUUCCAACGAGAUCGCUUCAUCCUGUUCCUCACAUGUUGGCCAGAGUCCAAGGAAACCCAACCUAACAGAAAAACAUCUGGUUUCUAGUUUUUCAGAAAAACAGAGAGGAAGAGAUGGACUUAAACAACACCACUGUGACAAAUCCUUCAGAACAUCUGGACAGUCAAAGAAUCAUCGGAGAGUUCACACUGGAGAGAAACCGUACAGCUGUGACCAGUGUGGGAAGGUUUUCUCUACUUUAAGUAAUCUAAAAAGUCACAAAUAUGUUCACAUGGGGGAGGAACCAUACUGGUGUGAGCAGUGUGGGAAAAAUUUUACCCGAUCAUUGGAGCUAAAAAUUCACAUGCGCACUCACACUGGAGAGAAAGCGUACAGCUGUGACCCAGUGUGGGAAAACAUUUACUCACAGUAAAACCCUGAAACGGCACCAAUGCGGUCACGCUGCAUCGCUGUAAACAUUUUUCAGAGCCAAGCUAGCUCUUGCCUGCUGCCUCCUCCUCAUGCUGUGUUAUAUUGUGAGCUUCUCUUUAAACUGAGAGAUAGACAACAGUAACUUUAUAUUCUGAGCAGCAUGUGCGUUAAUGUGUUAACUGUUUCUACUGAUGUUAUUAUGAAUUCGUAAACAAGUGUCAAUGAACUGAAUUUUUGUACAUUUUUAAUACACUUCAGAUCUCAAACCUGUAAAAUAAUAUUUAAAACUCACCGUUCAGCUGCUGGCACUAUUCCACUAGCACUGCGAGGAAGAAGUGCUUCCUUACCGUCCAUUAAUCUGCCAAGUGCUCAUAAUAUCACUUGGUAAAUAAAAUGUAGGGACUUUAGGAGCCGUCAGCCCUUCCUCUCUGAUCUCUCUGGGACGUCCCAGAUGACCACUCUCUCUCUGGGGAAGUCGGAUAUGAAACUCAGCAGAAGGACAUAAAUCCUUGAGAUGAGUUUUAUUAACCCAAGUGUAAAUAAAUGUACAGUCACUGGUUCAGUAA